rnacentral:rRNA from 1 species
UACGGGGGGGGCAAGCGUUGUUCGGAAUUACUGGGCGUAAAGCGUGCGCAGGCGGUUCUCCAAGUCCGUUGUGAAAGCCCCGGGCUCAACCUGGGAAUGGCAGUGGAAACUAGGGGACUGGAAUCUGGCAGAGGGGGGUGGAAUGCCGCGUGUAGCAGUGAAAUGCGCAGAGAUCGGGAGGGACACCCGUAGCGAAGGCGGCGCUCUGGGCCGGUACUGACGCUGAGGAGCGAAAGCGUGGGGAGCAAACAGG